rnacentral:rRNA from 1 species
AUUGAACGCUGGCGGCAGGCCAAACACAUGCAAGUCGAGCGGAGCGGCGGACGGGUGAGUAUUGCUUAGGAAUCUGCCUGGUAGUGGGGGCUAACGUCCGGAAAGGGGGCCUAUUAUCGCAUAUUAUCAGUUGGGCCUAGGUCGGAUUACCUAGUUGGGGGGGUAAAGGCCUACCAGGGCGACGAUCAGUAACUGGUCUGAGAGGAUGAUCAGUCACACUGGAACUGAGACACGGUCCAGACUCCUACGGGAGGCAGCAGGGGGGAAUAUUGGACAAUGGGCGAAAGCCUGAUCCAGCCAUGCCGCGUGUGUGAAGAAGGUCUUCGGAUUGUAAAGCACUUUAAGUUGGGAGGCGUUACCAACAGAAUAAGCACCGGCUAACUUCGUGCCAGCAGCCGCGGUAAUAC